AGCAGUCGCCGCGGUAAUACCGAGGGUGCGAGCGUUAAUCGGAUUUACUGGGCGUAAAGCGUGCGUAGGCGGCUUCUUAAGUCGGAUGUGAAAUCCCUGAGCUUAACUUAGGAAUUGCAUUCGAUACUGGGAAGCUAGAGUAUGGGAGAGGAUGGUAGAAUUCCAGGUGUAGCGGUGAAAUGCGUAGAGAUCUGGAGGAAUACCGAUGGCGAAGGCAGCCAUCUGGCCUAAUACUGACGCUGAGGUACGAAAGCAUGGGGAGCAAACAGGAUUAGAUACCCGCGUAGUCCCUGUCUCUUAUAC
rnacentral:rRNA from 1 species